rnacentral:piRNA from 1 species
GGACUGCUUUCUGUGGUAUACCUGUGUCC